UUCUUGACAGAAGAUACUUGCACCUCAUCGAGUGUCAGUGUCUCCUCACUACCUCAUCCCCUUCCCCUCAGCCCCUUUUGCUUCGCCUAGGCCAUCUCCUCCUUUCAGGGACUCCUGACAUGAUAUUUUGCUGAAAGCUGGUCUGCGGCAAGUGAGUACAGAUCAUCUACCAGGACCUAUGACCAGAUGUCCUGCAGCAGUACCUGAGGAGGAAGGCACAUGGAGAAGGAAACAUGAGGAGGAGAGUAAUUUAGUCAGGGUCCUCCCUGAUGGCGCAGAAGGUUGAAUGCCGCACUGUGAAGCCAUCCACAGGAUCUGCAGUGCAAGUUUAAUCUCACCCAGCUGGCGAGAAUCCCAGUGCAAGGCAGACCUCUCCUUUCUCACCAGUGCUCCCCUUAGUAGUGCAUUUCAUCAGUCUGCCUGUUCUGUUCCCUGUUCUGUCUCUGGUGAAUCCUCUCACCCUCUUGCGCAUCUGGCCUGUA